rnacentral:rRNA from 1 species
GAUGAACGCUAGCUACAGGCUUAACACAUGCAAGUCGAGGGGCAUCAGGAAGAAAGCUUGCUUUCUUUGCUGGCGACCGGCGCACGGGUGAGUAACACGUAUCCAACCUGCCCUUUACUCGGGGAUAGCCUUUCGAAAGAAAGAUUAAUACCCGAUAGCAUAAUGAUUCCGCAUGGUUUCAUUAUUAAAGGAUUCCGGUAAAGGAUGGGGAUGCGUUCCAUUAGGUUGUUGGUGGGGUAACGGCCCACCAAGCCUUCGAUGGAUAGGGGUUCUGAGAGGAAGGUCCCCCACAUUGGAACUGAGACACGGUCCAAACUCCUACGGGGGGCAGCAGUGAGGAAUAUUGGUCAAUGGGCGCUAGCCUGAACCAGCCAAGUAGCGUGAAGGAUGAAGGCUCUAUGGGUCGUAAACUUCUUUUAUAUAAGAAUAAAGUGCAGUAUGUAUACUGUUUUGUAUGUAUUAUAUGAAUAAGGAUCGGCUAACUCCGUGCCAGCAGCCGCGGUAAUACGGAGGAUCCGAGCGUUAUCCGGAUUUAUUGGGUUUAAAGGGAGCGUAGGUGGACUGGUAAGUCAGUUGUGAAAGUUUGCGGCUCAACCGUAAAAUUGCAGUUGAUACUGUCAGUCUUGAGUACAGUAGAGGUGGGCGGAAUUCGUGGUGCAGCGGUGAAAUGCUUAGAUAUCACGAAGAACUCCGAUUGCGAAGGCAGCUCACUGGACUGCAACUGACACUGAUGCUCGAAAGUGUGGGUAUCAAACAGGAUUAGAUACCCUGGUAGUCCACACAGUAAACGAUGAAUACUCGCUGUUUGCGAUAUACAGUAAGCGGCCAAGCGAAAGCAUUAAGUAUUCCACCUGGGGAGUACGCCGGCAACGGUGAAACUCAAAGGAAUUGACGGGGGCCCGCACAAGCGGAGGAACAUGUGGUUUAAUUCGAUGAUACGCGAGGAACCUUACCCGGGCUUAAAUUGCAGUGGAAUGAUGUGGAAACAUGUCAGUGAGCAAUCACCGCUGUGAAGGUGCUGCAUGGUUGUCGUCAGCUCGUGCCGUGAGGUGUCGGCUUAAGUGCCAUAACGAGCGCAACCCUUAUCUUCAGUUACUAACAGGUCAUGCUGAGGACUCUGGAGAGACUGCCGUCGUAAGAUGUGAGGAAGGUGGGGAUGACGUCAAAUCAGCACGGCCCUUACGUCCGGGGCUACACACGUGUUACAAUGGGGGGUACAGAAGGCAGCUAGCGGGUGACCGUAUGCUAAUCCCAAAAGCCUCUCUCAGUUCGGAUCGAAGUCUGCAACCCGACUUCGUGAAGCUGGAUUCGCUAGUAAUCGCGCAUCAGCCACGGCGCGGUGAAUACGUUCCCGGGCCU